rnacentral:pre_miRNA from 2 species
UUUUUGACCAGGGCUUAUCUUCGAUACUUGAAGGAGAGGUUAUCCGUGUUGUCUUCUCUUUAUUUAUGAUGAAACAUACACGGGAAACCUCUUUUUUAGUAUCAAAUCCCACC